rnacentral:rRNA from 1 species
UACGGAGGGAGCUAGCGUUGUUCGGAAUUACUGGGCGUAAAGCGAGUGUAGGUGGUUGUCAUAGUCAGGUGUGAAAGCCUUGAGCUCAACUCAAGAAAUGCACUUGAUACUGGGCGACUAGAGGACCGGAGAGGAUAGUGGAAUUCCCAGUGUAGUGGUGAAAUACGUAGAGAUUGGGAAGAACACCAGUGGCGAAGGCGGCUAUCUGGACGGUUUCUGACACUAAGACUCGAAAGCGUGGGGAGCAAACAGGAUUAGAAACCCUAGUAGU